rnacentral:rRNA from 1 species
UACGUAGGGUGCGAGCGUUAAUCGGAAUUAUUGGGCGUAAAGCGCGCGUAGGCGGCUUUGCAAGUCGGGUGUGAAAGCCCUCAGCUCAACUGAGGAAGGGCGCCCGAAACUGCAGAGCUUGAGUGCCGGAGAGGGUGGCGGAAUUCCCCAAGUAGAGGUGAAAUGCGUAGAUAUGGGGAGGAACACCGGUGGCGAAGGCGGCCACCUGGACGGUAACUGACGCUGAGGCGCGAAAGCGUGGGUAGCAAACAGG